GGAGCCCCGCGGGAGCAGGGCUUAACUGGGGCCACGCUGGAUGUCAUUACCCGGAUAUUCCUGGUGACAGUCGGAUAUGUUUAGCCUCAGUUAUCUGAAUAACUUACUUGAAUAUCUCUAACCGGAGGUAAAAUUUGAUUGGAAAAGUAGAGAAAUGUAAAGACUUGGGGAGGGAAUUCCGGAAGCAGGGCUGGCCUGAGGUAAAAUCGGAGCUUGGCCCUUUGUGUCUUUCCCUGGACCCCUGUCUGCAGGUGACCUUCCCACUCUGUGCCCCGUCCCCAUUCCUCAAGGACCUCCAUGCGCCGUGGUCGCUCACCUGUGACUCCACUUGACCUGCACCAGGGUCACCUGCAAGGGUCUGGCUGGAGUGACUGAUAAACUCUUAGAAGCUUUGACAUGGGAGGGAAGUCGGAGACUGUCCGAUUGUGGAAUGGCAAACAUAGCACCCGACCCAUGGACGGCAUACCAAUCAAUCCCAGAUCCCCGGCUCGCAUCACCGCUGAGAAGGGACUGGUUCUGAAUCCCUUUCACCCAAGAGCUCUAGCAGUUAAUGACAGUAGAUUCAGGCAUCGUAAUCAAACUGUGACUGGUGGACCAGCAGCCAUGGCAUCACCCCAGAGCUGGUUAGCAAUACAGAAUCUCGACCUCGCUUCAGAUCUACCAAAUCAGAAUCUACCUUUCACAAGCUUCUGGGGGAUCCACAUGCACGGUCUGUUGAUUAAAAGUGGCAAAACCAGGAUUUUCAGGACUCCUGAAAGUAAAAUGACCAAGAAUUCUGAGCUGACAUGUGUGGUUACAGGGUAGACAAGCACCCAUCUCCGGGACCAUAUCCUCUCCCCGGCAGUCUAAGGAGUGGGCUGCUCCCAUGGUGGUGCUGGUGAGCUACUCGCAGCCAGAGGAUGAGGCCAAGAGGAGCAGGUGCCUUGGGUCAAAGGACAGCCAUCUGUUGACGAAGGCAGCCGUGCAGGGCUAGCUGGGAAACCGGAUGACUUCACAGAGUGGAGCCCAACCUCCUGUGCUGGACCGCAGUCAAGUGAAGCAGCGCUGUUGGAUGUGGAGGGAACUGGUGGGCUGCCAGCUGUGGCAUUGUGUGGACCUGGAGAUAUUUCCAAUUAGACGAGAGUAGGAGGCUGCCUCCGAGAGAGAUGACUACUCCGUUUGUGCUGUGAAAGGGAAGAGAAUUUGACCCUCUGGGGAGAAAGUUCACAGUCGAGAAAUAGUUACAUUCCCAUUAAGUUUCCCACAAGGGAUCCAUGCAGCAGACUAGACUGUAGACCUUCCCUCUCCAUGGUUGAGCUGAAGCCGAGCAUGGCGAGACCAUGCUGGGUCCCUGUAGUUAACAGAGUUCCCACGGGUGCUUUCCACCUCUGUACUUUUGCACAGUAUCUCCUCCUACCCCAGAUGGGAAUAGCAGUGGACUAGACACCGAAGAAGAAAAUAUAUGAACCUGAAGAUGAAUGCAUAGCAAAAUAAACUAUCCAAAAUGUAUAUCAGAGAGGGAAAGAAAACUUUUAGAAGUUAACUUUUAAAGCCAUCAGUAACUUCUGGGACAAAUCAGGAAGUCUAAUGUACAUGCAGUUGGAAUCCCCGAAAAGAGGGAAAGAGGAAAAAGAAAAAAAAAUGAAGAAAUAAUAUUUUCAAAUUUUAUAAGAACUAUAAACCCAGAAAUCCAUGAAUAGCUACAAAACUGAAGGAGGAUGAACACAAAGAAAACCAUACGAAAUCACACCACAAUCAAAUUCCUGAAUCCCAAUCGUGAAGAGAUCAUCUUAAAAGAAUCCGGACAAAAAAAGACAUUUUAAAUACAAAAAGAACAAAGAUGAGAGUGACUAGAUUUUUAGGAAGAAACGGAGAAAACAGAAGAGAGUGGAACAAAAUAUUUAACAUACUAAAACAAAGAAAAGGAUCAACCUAGAAUUAUGUGCCCAGUAAAUGUCUUUUAAAUAAAGAAAAACGGAGACUUUUCAGACAAACAAAAGCUAAGAUAUUCUUUAGCAGCAGACUUGUACCGUGAAAAGUGGUAAAUACAGUUCUUCAAGGUGAAGGAAAAUGAAACCUUAUGGAAACUUGUAUUUAUACAAAGAAAUAAAA